ACCACAUAUGUACUGGUUCAAUGUCUGAGGGAACAUUUUCCGGACAAAUGCUUUCACAAUCUGGGACAAUACAGAGCAAGUUAUGGCUAACACCUGACGCUGAAGUCUGGAUCAAUACCACCAAGCCUCCUGAACAAAAGUUCCUGUUACAGACGGUCAUGAUGAGUAGAAGAAGGCAACAUGAUGAAGCAAAACUCCAUCACCACUACGUUGGAGUCUUCCCAUUCAGUCAUCAUCCAAUUUGCUCCAAAGAAUCACAUACAAGCAGACGCUUCUUACAGAUGGCUGUCCUCUAGAAUGAAAAUGCACACCAACCACCGACAAACAUCAAAAGCUAAUCCAACCUUUGGCUUUGUGUGGAAAGGUCUUCGGAAACCCUGUGACUGAUGCAAUGUUGGUGCCCUAGAAGACAAGUCAGCACAGUUCAGACGAGCCAGCCAGAGGAGGUCACC